AUUGAACGCUGGCGGCAGGCCUAACACAUGCAAGUCGAACGGUAACAGGAAGCAGCUUGCUGCUUCGCUGACGAGUGGCGGACGGGUGAGUAAUGUCUGGGAAGCUGCCUGAUGGAGGGGGAUAACUACUGGAAACGGUAGCUAAUACCGCAUAAUGUCGCAAGACCAAAGAGGGGGACCUUCGGGCCUCUUGCCAUCGGAUGUGCCCAGAUGGGAUUAGCUUGUUGGUGGGGUAACGGCUCACCAAGGCGACGAUCCCUAGCUGGUCUGAGAGGAUGGCCAGCCACACUGGGACUGAGACACGGUCCAGACUCCUACGGGAGGCAGCAGUGGGGAAUAUUGCACAAUGGGCGCAAGCCUGAUGCAGCCAUGCCGCGUGUAUGAAGAAGGCCUUCGGGUUGUAAAGUACUUUCAGCGGGGAGGAAGGGAGUAAAGUUAAUACCUUUGCUCAUUGACGUUACCCGCAGAAGAAGCACCGGCUAACUCCGUG
rnacentral:rRNA from 1 species